UACGGGGGGGGCAAGCGUUGUUCGGAAUUACUGGGCGUAAAGGGUUCGUAGGUGGCUCGCUAAGCCAGACGUGAAAUCCCUCAGCUUAACUGGGGAACUGCGUCUGGGACUGGAGAGCUCGAGUGCAGGAGAGGAAUGCGGAAUUCCAGGUGUAGCGGUGAAAUGCGUAGAUAUCUGGAGGAACACCGGUGGCGAAGGCGGCAUCCUGGACCACGACUGACGCUGAGGAGCGAAAGCCAGGGGAGCAAACGGG
rnacentral:rRNA from 1 species